GGGUGAUUAGCGCAGUGGUAGCGCGCCUCAUUUGCAUUCUGGAUUGUUUGGGAGUUGAACCCAAAUACGGCUGCGUUGAGGAGGUCAUGGGUUCGACUCCCAUAUCAUCCA